GCAAAGAACUUUGAAGAGAGAGUUCAAGAGUACGUGAAACCGCCCGGAGGCAAACGGGUGGGCCCUCGAAGGUCGAACGGGGGAAUUCAGCCUGUCGGCGAGCGCUUCCUGAUUUUGAAAGAAAAAUAGUACCGUCGAAAAGCAUUCGUGCGAAACGGAUCCGAGAAACCCAAAAAGCGGACCGGGCGGCAGGAGAGAUUUUACAAAAGCGUUCGUCGGCUCGUGCACUUUCCCCUUAGUAGGACGCCGCGACCGGUCGGGUCG
rnacentral:rRNA from 1 species